rnacentral:rRNA from 1 species
UACGUAGGGGGCAAGCGUUGUCCGGAUUUAUUGGGCGUAAAGAGCGUGUAGGCGGCCUGGAAGGUCAGCUGUGAAAACUCGAGGCUCAACCUCGAGACGUCGGUUGAAACCACUUGGCUAGAGUCCGGAAGAGGAGUGUGGAAUUCCCGGUGUAGCGGUGAAAUGCGCAGAUAUCGGGAAGAACACCCGUGGCGAAGGCGGCACUCUGGGACGGUACUGACGCUGAGACGCGAAAGCGUGGGGAGCGAACGAGG